GGGCCCUUCGUCUAUCGGUUAGGACGUCAGGUUUUCAACCUGAAAAGAGGGGUUCGACUCCCCUAGGGCCUGCCA
rnacentral:tRNA from 10 species